rnacentral:misc_RNA from 1 species
UAUGAAGAACGCAGCGAAAUGCGAUAAGUAAUGUGAAUUGCAGAAUUCAGUGAAUCAUCGAAUCUUUGAACGCACAUUGCGCCCGCUAGUAUUCUGGCGGGCAUGCCUGUCCGAGCGUCAUUUCAACCCUCAAGCCCCCGGGCUUGGUGUUGGGGAUCGGCGAGCCUCCGCGCCCGCCGUCCCCUAAAUCUAGUGGCGGUCUCGCUGUAGCUUCCUCUGCGUAGUAGCACACCUCGCACUGGGAAACAGCGCGGCCACGCCGUUAAACCCCCAACUUCUGAACGUUUGACCUCGGAUCAGGUAGGAAUACCCGCUGAACUUAAGCAUAUCAAUAAGCGGAGGA